GGGUUGUGAGGUUAAGUGACUAAGCGUACACGGUGGAUGCCUAGGCAGUCAGAGGCGAUGAAGGGCGUGCUAAUCUGCGAAAAGCGUCGGUAAGGUGAUAUGAACCGUUACAACCGACGAUACCCGAAUGGGGAAACCCAGUGUGUUUCGACACACUAUCGUUAAGUGAAUACAUAGCUUAACGAGGCGAACCGGGGGAACUGAAACAUCUAAGUACCCCGAGGAAAAGAAAUCAACCGAGAUUCCCCUAGUAGCGGCGAGCGAACGGGGAACAGCCCAGAACCUGAAUCGGCUUGUGUGUCAGUGGAAGCGUCUGGAAAGUCGCACAGUAAAGGGUGAUAGUCCCGUACACGAAGAUGCACAGGUCGUGAGUUCGAUGAGUAGGGCGGGACACGUGUUAUCCUGUCUGAAUAUGGGGGGACCAUCCUCCAAGGCUAAAUACUCCUGACUGACCGAUAGUGAACCAGUACCGUGAGGGAAAGGCGAAAAGAACCCCGGCGAGGGGAGUGAAAUAGAACCUGAAACCGUGUACGUACAAGCAGUGGGAGCCUACUUGUUGGGUGACUGCGUACCUUUUGUAUAAUGGGUCAGCGACUUAUAUUUUGUAGCAAGGUUAACCGAAUAGGGGAGCCGUAGGGAAACCGAGUCUUAACUGGGCGUUAAGUUGCAGGGUAUAGACCCGAAACCCGGUGAUCUAGCCAUGGGCAGGUUGAAGGUUGGGUAACACUAACUGGAGGACCGAACCGACUAAUGUUGAAAAAUUAGCGGAUGACUUGUGGCUGGGGGUGAAAGGCCAAUCAAACCGGGAGAUAGCUGGUUCUCCCCGAAAGCUAUUUAGGUAGCGCCUCGUGAACUCAUCUUCGGGGGUAGAGCACUGUUUCGGCUAGGGGGCCAUCCCGGCUUACCAAACCGAUGCAAACUCCGAAUACCGAAGAAUGUUAUCACGGGAGACACACGGCGGGUGCUAACGUCCGUCGUGAAGAGGGAAACAACCCAGACCGCCAGCUAAGGUCCCAAAGUCA
rnacentral:rRNA from 1 species